UAUCUGGUUGAUCCUGCCAGUAGUCAUAUGCUUGUCUCAAAGAUUAAGCCAUGCAUGUCUAAGUACAAACCUUAAUACGGUGAAACCGCGAAUGGCUCAUUAAAUCAGCUAUGGUUCCUUAGAUCGUCUCAUCCUACUCGGAUAACUGUGGAAAAUCUAGAGCUAAUACGUGCUUACAAGCCCUGACCUCACGGGAGGGGCGCAUUUAUUAGAUCAAAACCAAUCGGGGCUUGCCCCGUCUGCUUGGUGACUCUGGAUAACUUUUGUGCUGAUCGCAUGGCCUCUGCGCUGGCGACGUAUCUUUCAAGUGUCUGCCCUAUCAACUUACGAUGGUAGGUGAUAUGCCUACCAUGGUUAUAACGGGUAACGGGGAAUCAGGGUUCGAUUCCGGAGAGGGAGCCUGAGAAACGGCUACCACAUCUAAGGAAGGCAGCAGGCGCGCAAAUUACCCACUCCGGCACGGGGAGGUAGUGACGAAAAAUAACGAUACGGGACUCUUUUGAGGCCCCGUAAUUGGAAUGAGUACACUUUAAAUCCGUUAACAAGUAUCUAUUGGAGGGCAAGUCUGGUGCCAGCAGCCGCGGUAAUUCCAGCUCCAAUAGCGUAUAUUAAUGUUGCUGCAGUUAAAAAGCUCGUAGUUGGAUCUGAGGACUCGAAUUGGUGGUGCACCAUACGGUGUUACUGCCGAUUCGGCCUACCUAGUCGGUGCUCGCUCUUGGUGUUCUUAAUUGAAUGCCCUGAGUGCCCGGCAAGUUUACUUUGAAAAAAUUAGAGUGCUCAAAGCAGGCCAUUAGCCGGAAUACUUCAGCAUGGAAUAAUGGAAUAGGACUUCGGUUCUAUUUUGUUGGUUUUCGGAACCCGAGGUAAUGAUUAAGAGAGACAGACGGGCAUCGUACUGCGGUGUUAGAGGGAAAUUCUUGGAUCGCCGCAAGACGAACAACUGCGAAAGCAUUUGCCAAGAAGAACGAAAGUCAGAGGUUCGAAGACGAUCAGAUACCGUCCUAGUUCUGACAUAAACGAUGCCAACUGGCGAUCCGAGAUCGUUUGCUUAUUGAAGAAACCAAGUUUUUAGGUUCCCAAAGCUAAAGA
rnacentral:rRNA from 1 species